ACAGUGCAAUCUGUAUCUUAAACAUUAACGAGAAUUGUUUUGUGUCAGUGCCAGAAAUUGAAUACACACCUACAAAUUUCGUAAUUCAUAAAAAUAUUAUGAAUCCAUUAGCAAAUAAAGUUGUAUCCUUGAAAGAUAUUCUGGUAUUAUUGGCUCAAUGGGCAAUCGUUAAAGUGCAACUUGGUGAACUACAAAACACAUCAAAUUCAGUUAUAAAAAUUUGAGUAACAAAGGUAUGCUAAUUAUUGUAUUGCCUGAAAGAGUGUCAUUGCCAUUAAAAGCAGUAAAGAAUUCAAAUACUCUCGAAAAAAAAGACAAGAAAAUACUUAAGUCAAUUAUUUGUCACAAGUUGGAGUUAAAGACGAAGGAGAUUGUAUAUGUUAUU
rnacentral:lncRNA from 1 species